rnacentral:lncRNA from 1 species
UUUUUUUUAUUAUUUUUUUAGGAUGUAUUAUUUUUAUUAUAAAGUUAUUCAUUUUAGAAAAGGAUAAUUUAAAAAAAAGAAAAAGAUAAUUUCUGAUGAAGUAUCAGUAUGUCAAACUGAUUUUCAUGGGAAGUUGAUUAAACUGCCAAUGUUACGCUUUGUAUAUAGCAUGAUGAUUAAUACUAAAUAAAAGGUUACAGACAUACUUUAGUGAAAAGUAGUAACCAGAAAAGAAAAAGGCUGGGAGAAUUGACUUCUGGUCUGAUUAAAUAGUAAACAUUAACAGUGAAUUCAUGUUUGGGGUUUUUUUUUAAUGAAUAUUUUCAAGUUUAUUAAGUACCAAUGAUCAUUUUCUUUAUGAUAUAAUAGCUAUUUGUAAAAAAUAUAGUAGAAAAAAAUGAAUAUUCAUAAGAUUAGUGAUUUCUCUGAAUUUUUUCAGUGUGUAGAUAAUCUACAUAUUUUAAUAUUUAGUAUAUGCUGUGCAUUUGAAAAGUAUUUUCAAAUUCUCAAAUAAUUUUAUGAUGUAAAAAAGAUUAUAAUUACCACAUGGCUUAGCAGAAAGACAUCAUCAGGGUUUAGACCCAGACCAUAACUUAAAUCUUGACUCUGUUAAAUGCUGACAAUGUAACCUUGUUAAAUUAGUUAAUAUUAGAUUCCAAUUUCAUCUAUAAAAUAUGUGUAAUAUUUGUCUUGAAGUACUGUUGUGAGGAUUUGAAAUUUUAUGUAAGUUAGGUGCCUGUCCAGUCCCCAGCCAGCAAUGUUCAGGCAUUCUAUAGGUAUUGUUGCAAUAAUUCUCAUCUACAUAAUCAUGACAGUCAGGGCUUUUAUGGAAUUUACCUGGAAAGGCCCUGUUCUAAGCCUUUUACAUGGACCAUCUCAUUCAAUCCUCUCAAUAACUCCAUAUGGUAAUACUAUGAAUCUCGAUUUUACAGAUGAGGAACUAAGGCACACACCAGAAAAGUAACUAGCAGAAGGGCUCACAGUCUGGCUCUAGAGUUUGUGCUCUUCAUCCUUAAGCUUUGCUGCCACAAACCUAUUCAGUAUGUCUUUUCAUAGUUAUAUAUGCAUUGUACGGAUGCUUUACAUGAUUUACUGAUACUGGUAUAUCUUUUGAAUAGGCUUUAAUUUGAGGAUUUUGAAUUCAUUUUUGUAUUGUAAUAAUUAAUUCCACAAUUUUUUGAUAUAUUUGAAAACACUCUGCAGACAAAUAAUUUGAUAGGUGGCCAUUUUUGUCUAAGUGGUCUGAUGAUUAGUCAACCUAUUAGUGCAUAAAAUACUGCUAAAUAAUCAUCCCAGUUUAACCACAUUUACAAAAUGAAUACUUGUACAAUGCAUAACUCAUUCCUGCAUAAAAAUAAAUUGCCAUAUACUUUGUCAAAGAUAUUUAUGGAAGAGUAUGCUAAGAAGAAUGAUAAAAACAUGACCAUCAGUCUUCCUCACAUUAAAAGGAUUUACAUCUUAUCAUAGUAUAUUAUACAUUCAAAUCAAUAAGCAUUCAUGUUGUAGUUUUUAUAAAUUGUAAUAAAACUGAAAUACAAGAAUCACAUGAAUAUGCAUACAAUAUUUUUAAAAAAAACAGUAAUCACAAAACCUUUGUCGUACUUUCAUAAAAUAUGUUAAGCAUUUCUUUCAGAAAUGGAAAAGUGAUGUAUUUGUAGAUAAUGGGAAGAAGAAAGCCCAAGGUCAGUGCUCCCUAUCAGCAGCACUGCUGAUGGGAAAGAAAAUGACCAACAUCUUUAAUCUAGAGUUGAGUAAGAUCCUCCUCUAUACGUAUCACUUAAAUGAGAAAAUGCUCAUAUCUUUUCAUUCUUUUAAAAAUAGAAUCAUAAGGCUCUUAGAGUUUCCUGCCUCUUAUAGACCUAUUCCAAAAAAAAAUUCUAGAAGAAUAAUGGACUAUUAUGUGUGAUUUAUUCUGUUCUUGCUAAAAAUGGGAAACAAA